rnacentral:rRNA from 1 species
GUAGGUGGCAAGCGUUGUCCGGAAUUAUUGGGCGUAAAGCGCGCGCAGGCGGUCCUUUAAGUCUGAUGUGAAAGCCCACGGCUCAACCGUGGAGGGUCAUUGGAAACCGGGGGACUUGAGUACAGAAGAGGAAAGCGGAAUUCCAAGUGUAGCGGUGAAAUGCGUAGAGAUUUGGAGGAACACCAGUGGCGAAGGCGGCUUUCUGGUCUGUAACUGACGCUGAGGCGCGAAAGCGUGGGGAGCAAACAGGAUUAGAUACCCUGGUAGUCCACGCCGUAAACGAUGAGUGCUAAGUGUUAGGGGGUUUCCCGCCCCCUUAGUGCUGCAGCUAACGCAUUAAGCACUCCGCCUGGGGAGUACGGCCGCAAGGCUA